rnacentral:misc_RNA from 1 species
GCAUCUACCGAUUGAAUGGAGAGGUAAAAUCUCCGGACUAUGACGCGUUGGGGUCAAACCUAAUGCAGUCGUGGGAAGUUGAUUAAACCUUUCCAUUUAGAGGAAGAUGAAGUCGUAACAAGGUUUCCGUAGGUGAACCUGCAGAAGGAUCAAGAACGGAAGAAGGGCGUGUAGGGGAAGAAGGGAGAACACGGUGGUGGCCGCAGCAUUAAAAAAAAAAAAACAAUUAAGAAAGUACAUCGAUCUGAUGGAAACAAAGUGCAACACAUGUAAUAAU